GACGAACGCUGGCGGCGCGCCUAACACAUGCAAGUCGAACGGAGCUGAGAGAAGCUUGCUUUUCUUAGCUUAGUGGCGAACGGGUGAGUAACGCGUGAGUAACCUGCCCUGGAGUGGGGGACAACAGUUGGAAACGACUGCUAAUACCGCAUAAGCCCACGAUCCGGCAUCGGAUUGAGGGAAAAGGAGUUAUUCGCUUCAGGAUGGACUCGCGUCCAAUUAGCUAGUUGGUGAGGUAACGGCCCACCAAGGCGACGAUUGGUAGCCGGACUGAGAGGUUGAACGGCCACAUUGGGACUGAGACACCGCCCAGACUCCUACGGGAGGCAGCAGUGGGGGAUAUUGCACAGUGGAGGAAACCCUGAUGCAGCGACGCCGCGUGGAGGAAGAAGGUUUUCGGAUUGUAAACUCCUGUCGUUAGGGACGAUAAUGACGGUACCUAACAAGAAAGCACCGGCUAACUACGUG
rnacentral:rRNA from 1 species